GAUGAACGCUGGCGGCGUGCCUAAUACAUGCAAGUCGAGCGAACAGACGAGGAGCUUGCUCCUCUGACGUUAGCGGCGGACGGGUGAGUAACACGUGGAUAACCUACCUAUAAGACUGGGAUAACUUCGGGAAACCGGAGCUAAUACCGGAUAAUAUAUUGAACCGCAUGGUUCAAUAGUGAAAUACGGUUUUGCUGUCACUUAUAGAUGGAUCCGCGCCGCAUUAGCUAGUUGGUAAGGUAACGGCUUACCAAGGCGACGAUGCGUAGCCGACCUGAGAGGGUGAUCGGCCACACUGGAAGUGAGACACGGUCCAGACGCCUACGGGAGGCAGCAGUAGGGAAUACUCCGCAAUGGGCGAAAGCAUGACGGAGCAACGCCGCGUGAGUGAUGAAGGUCUUCGGAUCGUAAAACUCUGUUAUUAGGGAAGAACAAAUGUGUAAGUAACUAUGCACGUAUUGACGGUACCUAAUCAGAAAGCCACGGCUAACUACGUG
rnacentral:rRNA from 1 species